rnacentral:rRNA from 1 species
CCUACGGGUGGCUGCAGUGGGGAAUAUUGGACAAUGGGGGGAACCCUGAUCCAGCGACGCCGCGUGAGUGAAGAAGUAUUUCGGUAUGUAAAGCUCUAUCAGCAGGGAAGAAAGAAAUGACGGUACCUGACUCAUAAGCCCCGGCUAACUACGUGCCAGCAGCCGCGGUACUACGUAGGGGGCAAGCGUUAUCCGGAUUUACUGGGUGUAAAGUGAGCGUAGACGGUUACGCAAGUCUGGAGUGAAAGGCGGGGGCUCAACCCCCGGAGUGCUUUGGAAACUGUAUGACUGGAGUGCAGGAGAGGUGAGUGGAAUUCCUAGUGUAGCGGUGAAAUGCGUAGAUAUUAGGAGGAACACCAGUGGCGAAGGCGGCUUACUGGACUGUAACUGACGUUGAGGCUCGAAAGCGUGGGGAGCAAACAGGAUUAGAUACCCUGGUAGUC